rnacentral:rRNA from 1 species
GACGUGGAAGACUAGUGUUAUUCAUCUUUAAUAGGUUUAAAGGGUAACUAGAUCGGUAUUUCUAGCCAAAAAUAGGUACAGAUGUACUAGAGUUAUAUGAGAGAAGGUGAGUUAUUUAAGGUGGAGAGAUGAAAUUUUUAAUACCUUAAGGACUGAUAAUGGCGAAAGCAACCUUCUAUGUAAUAACUGACGUUGAGGGACGAAGGCCUGGGUAGCCAACAGG